rnacentral:rRNA from 1 species
GACAGAGGGUGCAAACGUUGUCCGGAAUCAUUGGGCGUAAAGCGCGUGUAGGCGGCUCGAUAAGUCUGCUGUGAAAGUCCAGGGCUCAACCCUGGAAUGCCGGUGGAUACUGUCGAGCUCGAGUCCGGAAGAGGCGAGUGGAAUUCCUGGUGUAGCGGUGAAAUGCGCAGAUAUCAGGAGGAACACCUAUGGCGAAGGCAGCUCUCUGGGACGGUACUGACGCUGAGACGCGAAAGCGUGGGGAGCGAACAGG